GACGAACGCUGGCGGCGUGCUUAACACAUGCAAGUCGAACGGAAAGGCCCUGCUUUUGUGGGCUGCUCGAGUGGCGAACGGGUGAGUAACACGUGAGUAACCUGCCCUUCACUUUGGGAUAACUUCAGGAAACUGGGGCUAAUACCGGAUAGGAGCUCCCGCUGCAUGGUGGGGGUUGGAAAGUUUCGGCGGUUGGGGAUGGACUCGCGGCUUAUCAGCUUGUUGGUGGGGUAGUGGCUUACCAAGGCUUUGACGGGUAGCCGGCCUGAGAGGGUGACCGGCCACAUUGGGACUGAGAUACGGCCCAGACUCCUACAGGAGGCAGCAGUGGGGAAUAUUGCACAAUGGGCGGAAGCCUGAUGCAGCAACGCCGCGUGCGGGAUGACGGCCUUCGGGUUGUAAACCGCUUUCGCCUGUGACGAAGCGUGAGUGACGGUAAUGGGUAAAGAAGCACCGGCUAACUACGUG
rnacentral:rRNA from 1 species